GGGUAAAGUGAAAGAGCACAGAAAUGAGAUGAAGGUAGGAGAGAGCUCCCUCUCCUUUGCACAAUAACCCUGUGGAUGUUACUCAUGCACAGCCAAAGCUGUUGCUUUUGCCUCUCUGCCAUGAACACCUCACCUGUCCCUCAGUGCAGGUCUCUGAACAGCAAGAGGGGAGAUGUCACCACUGAAGCUGCUGGCAGUGUCCCCUCCCAAAGGUGCUGGCAGUGCCUAUCUGCCUGCUCCAGAGGAAACAGAGGGAAUGUGCUCCACUGUGAUAGCUGGGCUUGGCAGCAGCUGCCUCAGCAACACCACCUUUUCCUGUGGAUUGGCCAAUGCAGGUGGCUGUUCUGGCAUGCUUCAAUCCAGCCUGGGAGUGACAGCUGACAAUGAAUACCCAACAAACCCCACAAACAAACCAGAAGAGCAGAGCCAUGGCACAGUGAGCAGACUGGCAGAAGGACAAGGAUUGCUGGCUUUCCAUCCCUGCUGGAUGUUUAACUGGAUACAGCCCACCAUAGGCUUUGCAUUGCUUGCACAGACUGAGGCUUUAUUGCAUUAAGGGGAUGCACUCCCACAGCAUAGAGCCCCUCUGCAGAACAAAUGCUGCUGGAGCCUGCUGUGCUGCUGUGAAAGCCUCCAAGGUAAAAAUAAACCUGCUCCCAUCCGUGCAGAGAGACAAACAAAGGAAUGCUCCAGCUUGGGAGAGCUGAGCCUCUGAACUGCUGCCCAGCCACACAAAGCCCUUCACACCCCGCACCCCCGGGAGCCUGGGCUUUGUCAAAGGGAACGGAUGGGCUGCACUUCCCUUUGCUUCCCUUUCCAGCAGCCUGCCCUGGAAAUCCGACACCGCAGAGCCUGCUGCUUUCCCCUCUCCUCGGGGGAGGGCAGGGCAGGCCACACAGCAAGGGGGGCUGGCUGGUUUUCACCCCCAUCCUUCAGCAGAGGGGCUUCCUGAUUUAUGUCCCACGUUCUGUACCUGGACUCGUUUUGUCUCCUGAAAUUCCCCAGCUUUGGUUCCAGGUGACAACAUAUGACAACAGUGAUUUCUUAUCCUGACAGCAGAACAUGCUGAGCUGGAUUUUAUACACCAAGCAGCAAAGUAUGUCUGUCAACACUUCCUAGAGCUGGAGUGUGUUCACCUACACUGUCUUUGCUCUUUUAGACUCUCCCAGCCUCCUCAAGAGCAACACUGGUGCCAAGACUGACAGCUUCCCAAAUAAACUCUGGUCCACCUGGCAGAGCCUGGGCUGGAGCCCAGGGCAAAUGGAAGGAUAACAAAAGGAGAUCCCCCAGCCUGCAGAAGGCAUUAAGUGAUAAAACAGAAGGGAAUGCCUGGCACAUCCUCUUCCAUAGUUGCCUUCCCUCUGCAGUUUGAUGCCACCAGUGGGCCAAAAGCAUCAGGUAUUUGGUGAGGAAAAAGCAAGUAGCACAUCUUCCCCUCUAUUCCCAAAUGCACUGCAAGGUCACUUGUAAUGUCUGUGCAAGCUGACAAGUGACCUCUCUAACUCAUUUUGGGGAGUGAUACUUCACCACAGAAAUCUUCCAUGAGAGGCCCUGUUGUACAGGACUUGAAUGUACUGGAAGGUGGAACAGGAAAGGUGCAAAAGGACUGGGAUCACCAUGCUCCCUCUGUCCCCCACUGUUUGUACACCCAACACACCUGCAUUUAAGAGACAUUACCUCUGGGCAGCUUCUUGCAGUUUCACAGGUUGCUUGGCACUGAGGUAAAUCAGGCAGGCCUCUGCCACUUUAUUCAGGUCACUCUCGCCUGCAGCAAUGGAACAGGAAAGAAGGGUAGGAGGUGACCUCCUCAGCAGCUGCUGCCUAAUGGAAUCAGCUCCAAAUUGGCAGCAGAGGCUUCAGAGCCUUUGAGCUGUCUGACCCAGAGCUCUUCUGACCUUGCCUUUUAAGCAUCUUGCUGCAAAGCCAGGAAAGCAAUCAAGGGCACUGAGAGGAAAAGAGCAACUAGCCAGCAAACCUUCUCCCUCAUCAAAGCCAGUUCCAGAAAUUUCACUUGGGGAGAAUUUCAGAGUUUCAUUCAACAGAAGACUGUGAUGUGCUGGAUUUAAAGGGUCCCCCAGAGAUAAGCCCACAAUAGAACCAGUCAAGCCAGCCAGAAGUCUUUUCUGGGCUCCAGUUUGUCCAGUAAAACAAAGUGUGGCCCAACAGCAAUGCAUACAAAUGUUCUGUACCCUCUUCUCAUUCACAAGUGGGAUGAGCAGUCACAUUUUGCAUGUGGUGGGAACCUUCUCUCUCAUUUGUCUCCUGGGGAGAAAAGUGCCCAGCACCUCUUUACAGAGCUCCCAAAGAGAACAGAUUCAGGCUAGAGAAGAUCAGGAAAUCAAUUCUGGGCAGCAGGAGGAGAAGCAGCAAAUAGAGAGGAGACAAAGUCUAGCAGAGAUCCAUACAGCCUGUGCUUGCUCUGGUACUCACCC